UACGGAGGGUGCAAGCGUUAAUCGGAAUUACUGGGCGUAAAGCGUGCGUAGGCGGUGAGUGAAGUCUGCUGUGAAAUCCCUGGGCUCAACCUGGGAAUGGCAGUGGAUACUGGCAAGCUAGAGUGUGUCAGAGGAUGGUGGAAUUCCCGGUGUAGCGGUGAAAUGCGUAGAGAUCGGGAGGAACAUCAGUGGCGAAGGCGGCCAUCUGGGACAACACUGACGCUGAGGCACGAAAGCGUGGGGAGCAAACAGG
rnacentral:rRNA from 1 species